UACAGAGGGGGCGAGCGUUGUUCGGAAUUACUGGGCGUAAAGGGCGCGUAGGCGGCUCGCUAAGUCGAACGUGAAAUCCCCAGGCUCAACCUGGGAACUGCGUCCGAUACUGGCAGGCUUGAAUCCGGGAGAGGGAUGUGGAAUUCCAGGUGUAGCGGUGAAAUGCGUAGAUAUCUGGAGGAACACCGGUGGCGAAGGCGGCAUCCUGGACCGGCAUUGACGCUGAGGCGCGAAAGCUAGGGGAGCAAACGGG
rnacentral:rRNA from 1 species